AGUAGGGACAGAGCUGAAGGCAGUUAGCUCUCAGUAAACACUCAGAUUAUUUUCCUCUCUGCCCAGUUCCGGGCCCACCUUCCGGGCAGCUGGCAUGAAGGCUUUCGAAGAAAAAUAAAUAGAAGUCCAGGCUCCCACAGCCAUUCAGCUUACACAGCGGAUCCAGUUUGACUCUGGGAGGAACGGCCUUUGGUUUGGUUUUCUUUGCUUUGACGUGGAUUGCCCUGAGAUGGUGUCAUCUAUAAAAGUGGGAAGCAGUCUCUGGAGAAGCCAAUAAUGCGCUCAUGGUCACCCAGACACAGAGGCAGAGCUAGACUGAGCAUGUGUCAUCUGGUCAUGGACGAUGAGGAUGUAGACGCUACCCCAAAUGUUAUCCCGUGUCCACUGACUUCUGGUUCCUUUCAUUGGCUGCCUGCCUCAAAGAGGGAUCUCAGAGGUGGCAUCCUUCAAACCCAAGGACUCGAUGACAAAAGAUACCGAGAGACAGUGAUUACAUCGGAGAAAAUGCACUGUGGAUGCUAACUGCGCCCCUCAGGCACUCCUAAGGGAGGCAUUCUCUUCUUCAAAACGGAUCUCUCCUUCAUUCUCGGAGCCUCCAGUCUAAGGAUAAUCCUGUACUGAUUGAUGGCAGCUAAGACUCUCUGAGGUGACAGAUCUUAUACACACACACUCUCUCUCUCUCUCUCUCUCUCUCUCUCUCUCUCACACACACACACACACACACACACACACACACACACUGGGCUAUGACCUCACUGUGUUGUUUCAUAGGGGUUGUUCCUCACCAGUCCUUUGAACACUGGAGACUGAAGCAUCCCUCCUGACAACAGGACUCCCUGGAGAGAAUUAGGCCAGCACCUGACUCCUCUGAGAAAGCAAAGGUGAAGACUUGCAAAACACUACUAGGAGGUGCAUUGCAGACAAAUUCCCUGGGUCCACACUGGUCCCACCCUCAGCUCUUGGCAUUUCUAGUAUCCAGGAAUCUCUCUCCAGUCACAGAAGACUUGCUUCUGGUCCGUGUAAACUUAUUAAGUUCAUUUUUAAUGCUCAUUCUUGCCGGGUGUUCCUAUUUAUAUAACUUCUCUGCUGAGACCUUUGACUUGGCAGAAACUCUCCUGGCUAGAUAUCUUUUCCCAUCCGAGUUAGGAAUCAAAGGGACAGCUUUGGUCUCUUCAAAGAGAGACCUUUUUGAAAAUUUUUGCUCUUGGAAAUUACCUUCCUGUGCUUUUAUGUGAAGAGUGAUCAUGUCAGGACAGUUACAUUUUGUAUUAUAAAAUCAGAGUCAUGGUUACCACAUCACAGGAUUGUGAGAAACGGGAUAAGCUUGGAAUGCUUUGAGCCUUCUACAAAGGAUCAAGCUGGACAUAGUGGUACCCACACACCAACCACCUCAACUAUUGCACAGACCAGCCUUGGAGCGCAGACCAGCCUGAGCAACAUAGCAAGACCCCAACUCAAAAGGAAAAGUUCUGUGUGUUUGUGAAAUCAUUACUGUGACUCUUCCUUCCUCAAGGCCAGGCUCCUGCAGUUGGGACAACAGCUCUGCUAACCCAGGGGUCAAGGCAAUUCAAUAUGAUGACUUUUGAGUCUGCUUUGGUCCAAUCUAGACCUAAACUAUAUCCAAUAACUUAUAUAUUUAAAUUCAUCUGGAGUGUCACUGUAUCGGGAAAGAAAAACAAUAAACAAUCAUUUUCCAUGUUUUUCAUUGUAACUCGCUCAUAUACCAUGUCUAGACAAUGGCUCAUGCACACAUGCGUAAUAUCAAUGAGAAAGGACACCUCUGCAUUAAUUGUCAACAUUGAUGGCUGCAGGCAUGUCAGCAAAAUCAAACCUCUCAAGUCACCAGGAAUCUUGGACACACUAUUGACGAAAACAAGACUUGGAAUACAAACGAGUAUAAUUUUUAUUUAUUUAUUUGGCUUAAAAAAAAUCAUAGCUCUAAAUUUUAAAGACAUCUUUUUUUAUUUUUAUUUAUGUGUGGGGGUAUAUAUAUAUAUAUAUAUUAUAUAUAUAUAUAUUCCACCAAUACACAGGUGGCUGUGGGGGACAGAAGAGGGUGCCGGAUCCCCUGGAGCUGGAGUUAGGCUUUAGUUACUAACUUUGAUAGACUGAAGAAUGAGGUACAAAGAACUUUCCAGAAGUCUGAGUGUAGAACACAAGUCUCAUGUGCUUGGAGCCCCAUUAUUGCAUUGCCACAGGACUGACUAUGCGAUGGAAUCUUUCUACUUGAUGACACAGGACACAGUUGUACCUCUGGGAGGUGCUAUCCGGGAUGUGUAAUAAAGUGCUUCAGGUGUCCCCAAAGGAAGGCAAUGUAGUCCUGCAAAAUCAUUUCACAUAUUAAAAAAAAAAAAAAAGGAAAAUUUUGG